AUUGAACGCUGGCGGCGGGCCUAACACAUGCAAGUCGAGCGAAGCGGGGACGGGGGAGUAACACGUGGAUAACCUCCUAUAAGACUGGGGUAACUUCGGGAAACCGGAGCUAAACCGGAUAAUUAUAGCUGGAUCCGUGCUGCAGUAGCUAGUUGGUAAGGUAACGGCUUACCAAGGCAACGAUCCAUAGCCGACCUGAGAGGUUGAUCGGCCACACUGGAACUGAGACACGGUCCAGACUCCUACGGGAGGCAGCAGUAGGGAAUCUUCCGCAAUGGGCGAAAGCCUGACGGAGCAAUGCCGCGUGAGUGAUGAAGGUCUUCGGAUCGUAAAACUCUUUUAUCAGGGAAGCGUUACCUAAUCAGAAAGCCACGGCUAACUCCGUGCCAGCAGCCGCGGUAAUUC
rnacentral:rRNA from 1 species